GGCACUUUGGCGGAGUGGUUAACGCGUAUGUCUGCCAUUCGGGAGCGUGUGUUCGAAUCACACAGGUGUCG
rnacentral:tRNA from 1 species